rnacentral:rRNA from 1 species
CGCUCUUUGUGCUUUAAAAAUAAAGAGUCGUGCCUGCCCAGUGAGAUAUUUAACGGCCGCAGUACCCUGACUGUGCUAAGGUAGCAUAAUCAUUUGCCUUUUAAUUGAAGGCUAGUAUGAAUGGCUUGACGAGAAUUUGUCUGUCUCUAAUAUAUUAUAUAUAACUUAAUUUUUAGGUGCAGAAGCCUAAAUAAAAACGAAAGACGAAAAGACCCUAUCGAGCUUAAAAAUUAUAAUUAAAUUAUUUUCUUGUAGAAGAAUAGUUUUUAGUUUGUUUUUUGGUUGGGGCGACAUAAGAAUCUAUAAAGCUUCUUUUAGUUAAUAAAACUAUUUAGUUUAAAAGAUCUAUAAUUAAUAAAAAUAAGAUAAGUUACCGUAGGGAUAACAGCGUAAUUUUUUUGGAGAGUUCGUAUUGAAGAAAAAGUUUGCGACCUCGAUGUUGGAUUAGAAUACCUUUAAGGUGAAGAAGCUUUAAAAGGAGGUCUGUUCGACCUUUAAUUUUCUACA